ACUCAGUGUCAGGAGUUCCUGGCUUCCAGUCAAGUGUUUGAUCUACUAGACCAUACUCUGUUCCUGCUAGCUAAAUAUGUAUAUUCUUGGGUUCAUAGAACUGGAUAACAUGCAGAGCCCAGAGCAGGUCUGACUCUUUUUAGGCAACCUGGCCUCCCGCAGGAUUUGUGCCCCCUGAUGACGUCCUUGCACCUCUCCUCCCUUCUCUUUUCUCUCCCCCUCAGAUGCUCAGCUUUUCUCCUCCGAUGAUGAGGUGCAGAGCUGAACGCAUGCAAGCUGCUUUUCAUCUCUACUCCCACAUGCAGUGUGAUGUGCACUUCUCUACAUGUGUGGGAAAGACAGCAGAUAGACUUGAGCAACCUGCGGUGUAUCGUCUGAUUUACUAGGCCUUUCCAGACGUGACCCAUUAUCUUCAUAGCCAGUGUCAUUAAAAUAAGGGGGUAAUCAGAGCACUUGGCCUGUGCUCCAUGGAAUGUGGACCAGUGCGGGGUAACUUCCUCAAUGUGAUUUCCCUUGUACCCUCACCUCAUUUUUGAUUUGUUUCACAUCUCUGCGUCUCAAUCAGACUGCCAGCGAGCCAAAUUGUGUGGUUGGAAAAAUGUCCAGUUGGGACUAGGCUGAGGCACUGUGCUCAAACCUGCUUUUGAAUAAAGAGUGGAUUUAGGCCUUGUC